rnacentral:tRNA from 1 species
GCAUGAGUGUCUGAGUGGUCGAAAGAAACAGUCUUGAAAACUGUCGAUCCGCAAGGAUCCGGGGGUUCGAAUCCCUCCUCAUGCG